rnacentral:tRNA from 1 species
AAGGAAUUAGUUAAAUUAAAUAACAUUAGAAUGUCAAACUAAAAUUACUUUAAAAGUACUCCUUA